GGGGGGGGACACACACAAAGCCAUUGGGAUGAGUGGGGGGGCACAGCACCAUAACCGCCCCCCCCCCAUAUCACAGCACCCCAUAGGGAUGGAGACAAUGGGGAACCCCAUAAGGACAGCCCCAAUGGGGGGACACAAAUGGGACCCCCCCCCAGGAGAAGCACAUUGUGCCAUAGAGACACUCAAAUGAUGCCCCCCCCACCCCAUGGCCAUAAGGGACCCUUUAUCCGCCCCCACCUCCCCCCCCCAACUGACGUCACUGUGCCCUAUAGCGUGGUUGUGGGGUGGGGGGGGGUCGUGGUGCCCCACAAUGGGCCCUUUGUGGAGGGCGGGGGUGGGGGGCACCGUGGGGCAGCGCUGUGGGGUGGAGCUGCCAUGGCCCCAAAUGGACCCUGGGGUGGGGGUGGGCAGAAACAGGCAGCUCCCAGUGCCACCAUACCAGUAUAGCCCAGUAUAUCCCAGUAUGUCCCAGUAUAUCCCAGUGCCACCAUCCCAGUGUAUCCCAGUAUGUCCCAGUAUAUCCCAGUGCCACCAUCCCAGUGUAUCCCAGUAUGUCCCAGUAUGUCCCAUUCCAUCCCAUAUAUCCCAUAUAUCUCAUAUAUCCCAGUAUGUCCCAGAGCCACCAUCCCAGUAUAUCCCAGUAUGUCCCAGUAUAUCCCAGUAUAUCCCAGUAUAUCCCAGUAUGUCCCAGUAUGUCCCAUUCCAUCCCAUAUAUCCCAUAUAUCUCAUAUACCCCAGUAUAUCCCAGUGCCUCCAUCCCAGUAUAUCCCAGUAUAUCCCAUUCCAUCCCAUAUAUCCCAUAUAUCUCAUAUACCCCAGUAUAUCCCAGUGCCUCCAUCCCAGUAUAUCCCAGUAUAUCCCAGUAUAUCCCAGUAUAUCCCAGUAUAUCCCAGUAUAUCCCAUUAUAUCCCAGUAUAUCCCAGUAUAUCCCAGUGCCUCCAUCCCAGUAUAUCCCAGUAUAUCCCAGUCCACCCCAGUGCAUCCCAGUGCCACUAUCCCAGUAUAUCCCAGUAUAUCCCAGCCCAUCCCAGUGUAUCCCAUUGCCACCACCCCAGUGUAUCCCAGUGUAUCCCAGUACCACUCUCCCAGUAUAUCCUAUUGCCACCACCCCAGUAUAUCCCAGUAU
rnacentral:lncRNA from 1 species